rnacentral:ncRNA from 1 species
GUUAGUUUUACCCUACUGAUGACUAGUCGUUGCGAUAGUAAUCCUGCUCAGUACGAGAGGAACAGCAGGUUCGGACAUUUGGAUCACGCACUCGGUCGAGCGGCCGGUGGUGCGAAGCUACCAUCCGUGGGAUUAUGCCUGAACGCCUCUAAGGCCGUAUCCUUUCUAGUCAAAGGAGGCAACGAUAUUUCUUAAGGAGUUUCGUGUGGGUCGAAAGGCUCAAAACAAUGUGACACUACUAGGUGGCCGGUCCUCGUGGCCGGUCACGGGCCCCAUUUUGCCGUACGGGCGUCAAUGUACACGUCGUCGGGAUCUCUCCGAACGACGGGACACGGCGCUCUAACGGUCGAUCAUGAGUACUCCAAGUUCGACGUCGAUACUCGGAAUCGUCUGUAGACGACUUAGGUACCGGGCGGGGAGUUGUACUCGGUAGAGCAGUUAGCACGCUGCGAUCUGUUGAGACUCAGCCCUAUGCUUGGGGAUUCGU